AUAUAUCAACCUCUACAACUUUUGUUUGUUGAGUUGUUGGAUGUGGGGGGCUCUUGCUGGCUUCUCUUCUGAGGUCAGCUCCCCUGAAAUACAUUAGCGGAACGAUCCCCGUUCAUUGGUGUGAUAACUAUCUACGCUAUUGAAUUGAAGUAGUUUGGCUUAUAACAGUCCAUUGACUUGGACAAAUUUUCAUUA
rnacentral:misc_RNA from 1 species